rnacentral:rRNA from 1 species
GGAUGACCUGUGGCUGGGGGUGAAAGGCCAAUCAAACUCGGAGAUAGCUGGUUCUCCCCGAAAGCUAUUUAGGUAGCGCCUCGGACGAAUACUACUGGGGGUAGAGCACUGUUUGGACUAGGGGGUCAUCCCGACUUACCAACUCCAUGCAAACUCCGAAUACCAGUAAGUAAUAUCCGGGAGACACACGGCGGGUGCUAACGUCCGUCGUGAAGAGGGAAACAACCCAGACCGCCGGCUAAGGUCCCAAAGUUCUGGUUAAGUGGGAAACGAUGUGGGAAGGCUCAGACAGCUAGGCUGUUGGCUUAGAAGCAGCCAUCAUUUAAAGAAAGCGUAAUAGCUCACUAGUCGAGUCGGCCUGCGCGGAAGAUGUAACGGGGCUCAAACCAGGCACCGAAGCCGCGGAUUCACACUUAUGUGUGAGUGGUAGGGGAGCGGUCUGUAAGUCUGCGAAGGUGUAUCGAGAGGUAUGCUGGAGAUAUCAGAAGUGCGAAUGCUGACGUAAGUAACGAUAAAGGGGGUGAAAAGCCUCCUCGCCGGAAGACCAAGGGUUCCUGUCCAACGUUAAUCGGGGCAGGGUGAGUCGACCCCUAAGGUGAGGCCGAAAGGCGUAAUCGAUGGGAAGCAGGUUAAUAUUCCUGCACGACUUGUAAUUGCGAUGGGGGGACGGAGAAGGCUAGGUGGGCCAGGCGACGGUUGUCCUGGUGAAAGUGCGUAGGUGGUGUUUCUAGG